CACGUAGGUCGCAAGCGUUGUCCGGAAUUAUUGGGCGUAAAGAGCUCGUAGGCGGUCUGUUGCGUCCGCUGUGAAAACUCGGGGCUUAACCCCGAGCCUGCAGUGGAUACGGGCAGACUAGAGGUAGGUAGGGGAGAAUGGAAUUCCCGGUGUAGCGGUGAAAUGCGCAGAUAUCGGGAGGAACACCGGUGGCGAAGGCGGUUCUCUGGGCCUUACCUGACGCUGAGACGCGAAAGCGUGGGGAGCGAACAGG
rnacentral:rRNA from 1 species